CCCGAUGCCUGCCUCGUCC
rnacentral:miRNA from 1 species